UAAAUUUGUUUGAAGCAAACGACCAUUUUUUUUAAAAAAAACUGUCACUAACCGCAAUAAAAGAAAAUUAUUUUUUGUUUGUCAUCAAACUUUACUAAGGUCAAGAAGUUGUUGAAAUUAUUUAUUUAAAGAAAAAAAGAAAUUUGCAAAACUCAAUUCAAAAGCCACGUUGUCAAGCAUAAGAAAGUUUCAUUGCCUUUUUUAAGUCUCAAAAGAGAACGUACCAAUAUUCCAAGUGAUAGAAUUCUUAGAAGUUUUUUGAUUAGUAAGAUAUUUGGCCAAAAUCACAGUUGUAAAUUUACAUGAUAAAAUUAAUUAUCAAUAAUAAAAUAAACUCCACACAAAACUAAAUCACAUAAACUAAUGAAAUUUAGACAAAGAAAGUAAAGAAUAAUGAAAACCGCCAUAGACCACCCCAAGCAAAUUUGCUUGUUUUCUUCUUGUCCAAUGCGAUUAAAAAAGAUAGUUUGUGAUAACUCUAUGCGGGUAGGAAGAGUCUUGCAUUAAGACUCCAGGUUGCUCUGAAGUGUACAUGCAAAUAAAAAAUAGAGAAUAAAGAAUAGUAAAAAUAGUCUUAAACUUAUAGUGUUCGAAAUGAGUAGAAUAAUCACAGAAAAUCUUUUGUAAAACCCAAAGCUUUCAUAUUAUCAAAACCUUUUUAGGCUUGCAAGCUUCUUUUAUAUCAGACAUUAGAAUUCCAUAUAAAACUUUUAGCAUCAAACCUUAGAGAAAAGGUUUUCAACAGUAAGUUCCUACAUAAACCUAUAAAUAUUUACAUCCAGGUGAUUAAACUGACACAGAUUAGAGAUUUAGAAUAUACUUCUGGUAAACAAUAAACUAUUAGACAAGUUAUACAACAAAAUAGCUGAAGGUUUUCUUUCUAACUUAAACUAACACUACCUCAAAUAAGACAAAUGCUUAACAAGACUUAAUGCUAUUCUACCACAUAAACCAGUCAUUUGACAAGAUCAUAAACCAAAUGUAGUCAUAACAUAAUAUCAAAUGAAGCUACAGUUUGUCUAUUAGCAUGGAUUCUAACAGAGACUUUAAUAGUCUAUAUGAAUAUCUUAUACGUGUACACAUAUAUUUCAAAUUGAUACUACCCUUUUCUUGAAAAUAUGAUUUCUCAAAAUGUACGCAAAAUCAAUCUAUGGUUAAAAUAAGGUUUUUAUUAUUAGAAAUAGUUCUUAAUCACAAACUAAAAUGAGAUAUUUUUUAUAUACACACAGUGGACGAACAUGGCUUCCAUCUAAAGGUUCAAACUUGUAAUGAAUCCUAACAGCUAGAGAACAUGUUGCCUUUCCACAUAUCUAUGCAAGGCAAUAGGUUACUAUAGUCAUAAUUCUGGCAGAAUUUAAGGCAUGAAUCUCUGCUGCAUAAGAAAUAAAAAAUAGAAAAAAAAACACAAGAUAAAAUUUCUACAACAAUUAUAAAUGAUAAAACACAUGGUAACUUUUAACAAAAAAAACAGCUAGCAUUUUUAUGGAACUUUAUCGGCCAUAAUGGAAAUGCCUCAUGCCCAAAAACUAAUUUCCUUAAAGACAUAAUUUCUACAUACAAAUGAACUCUAAAUCAUGAUUUCUAAUAUAUUACUUAAAGUAAUAAAUACAGAAUAGCAGGUUUAGAUCUAACUUUUAUUGGAACAGUGAACCCAGUGCUCUUAAGGCUUUGGAUCUACUCCUCUUUUAAUGAAAUUGAAUAGGACAGAGAUUGAUACGGAUUAAACUAGUUUUUGAGAUCAAGUUUUAUAUGAAACCUUUUAAUUUCUAAUUAAUAUGAAAAUAUCGGCAUCUUAUGAGUAUGCUUCAUGGGUGAACCAAACAAAUUUCUAUAUAUAUGAUUUACACAAAGAAAACAACUGAACCAUGAACUUCUAUAACAGAACAAAAGGGGACUAACACAUGAUUCUACUGGAUAAGAAAACAACAAAUUUAUACUUAAUAAAAAUAAAGAGCGACUAAAACUUAGAAGGAAAACUGACCUUUUGCGGUGCAGGAACUGGGGUCGCGUCAAUGUCUACUAUCUCCGGCCUCUACUCCGCAACCUCGAACGAUCGUCAAAUUCCAAAACGAUUAUGCCGCCACCUCUAGUUCGGUUAAACGAGACCAGUAGGGGCUGACCAAAACGAGCCCUUAAAGCGUGGCUCCAAUGAGUAAGAAAUCAGAGAAGGAGGCUCGGAGAAGAAUGUUAAAAAGGUUGUGGGUUCAAAAAUUGCUGAAAAUCUCCACCAAGUUUGGUAUUUAUAGGAGAUGAAUUAGGGCUCUCUAGGGUUAGUUGGGCGGCAUUCUUGAUUUUUGAUUUUUCAUUCAAAAUGAACUUUUUAAAUUUGAUCGUUGAUCUUUCUUGGACGGACUUUGCAUACAUCACAUGAUUUGGUCAAAAAGGCGUGAUUUGUUCCAGUCCUUACCCAAAUUGGCGAAGCUGUGGUCUGCUUCAAUUUGAUUUCGAAGUUGUCAAGCACAAACAAGAAAGAGGAAAAGGAAUAUACUUUGAAAUAUUUAGAUACAUAAUGAGAUUAGAGAGAUCUUUUUGCACAAAAAUGGUGCGUCAUUCCUCUGCUUGAAAGAUAUAAGAGCUUGGAAGUUUUCUGAAAAUGGAGAAGGGAGUGGGGCGUCUGUUUUGAGGGAGAUAGAGAGAGGUUAGGAGAUUUAAGUUAUGGAAAACCUGAGCUGUUGGAUCUGUUAUUGGGCUAUUGAGAAGUGAUGGGCUGCUGAAAGGUGGUGAUGUAAAGGCUUUGUUUGGGCCGAAAACCAUGACAUUUUCCUUCUUCCAAUUAAUUUAAUUUUGCUCUCAUAUCUUUAUAACUUGCACUCAAUAAAAAUUUCAUAAAUAAACAAUAAUAAGUAAAUAUAAUAUAUUUGUAGCAGUAAAACUAUUAUAUCAUAUCUUUUAAAAUAAAAUUACGUUGAGUAAUAAACUUAUCCAAAUAUGAAAUUCUUUCUCCCCACAAAAUGGAACUUUUCUCUCCCUUUGGCCAAAUAUCACUCCUAAUUAAUUGUUGAAUCUCUCCCAAAAUUCAUAAUUAUUUUCAAUAAAUUUCUUCCUUUAAGGGAAUUCGAAGACUUAGAGAAGUGGUAGAGGUGUAUGGAUUAAAAUUAAAAUCACAUAUUUGCAAACAACUUGAAAAUAGUCCAUCGUGCUAAUUACACAAACUGAUUGGCACGAUUUGAUUGCAAUUUAUAUCCACUAUAAAUUAUUCUUGAUACUUCAAAAUCUUUUAACUAUGAUCAUUUUAAAAUAUCAACCAUAAAAAAAAUAAACAUGUCUUUCAAAAACUCUACGAAACUCCAAAAAAUAUGUGUAUAAUAUAGUACUAUAUGUGUUGUGUUAUAUUAUGUGUAUUUUAUGGGAAUCACAUAUAUAUAUAUAUAUAUAUAUAUAUAUAUAUAUAUGUGUGUGUGUGUGUGUGUGUGUGUGUGUAAAACUAAGGUAUAUGCAUCCAAUGUGUAAUAAUAAUAAUAAUAGUAGUAGUAGUAGUAGACUAAUCACUUCAAUAACUAUAACAAUAAUAAUAAUAAAAGGUAACAAAUAAUUAAGAUAGGGCAUGAAAUUAUUAAUGACUAGGGAGCACUAAAAAAUUAAUCAGAAGAAAGGUAGGACAAAAUUGGGUAUCAACAGCUGCCCCUCUUUGACCGAAAAUGAUGAAAGAGUUUUCGUGCAAAGAAAUUGAAUGUAGUAGCCAAUUUUGUCCUGACCAUUAAGGUUGAAAUGGGGCAAAAGGGAGAUAAAAAAAAUAAUUGCAGUCGAACUCUGGUUUCGAGUUGCCUACAUAUCUCAGGUUUCACGAGAAUCAAGCCAUAUGUAAUUCCAGACUGAUGGUGCUAUGGAGUAGGACUUAAUGAUUGAUGUGGAUCCUAAAAUGCUGCCCCAGUGUCGAAUUAUGGAGACACAAGGUGUCAGAUACUGGGAAUCAUGAUUGAAAGAAAAUGUGUCGAAAUAAAGAUUUUGGCUAAGAUUUUGGUAGUCAAGCCGAACGGAAUCCGAAAAUAGACCUUUGACUUUUGUUGGCGAGUCUGGUUUCCUCCCCAGCAAACUGCCCCGGUUUGCUACUUAGAUAAAGUUCCACUUUGUGCUAAAUUUCCUGCUAAACUCAACAGGCUAGGUAAAAUUGUUAGUAAAUGAGAUAUAAAAAUGAGAUAAGUCAUAACAAUAAUUUCAUUAAAAUGAGACCUCUAAGUCGUUAAUUUAUCAUAGAAUAAGCCAGGUAUGUUAAAAAUAAUUCUUUGAUCAUGACUAAUGAAAUGAGGCUUUGAGCUAAUGAUUCAUGUAAAUGGUGCCUUUCAGCGAUGACUUAUGUAUGAUUGAUAAAAAUGAGGAAUUUAAGCCAAUGAUUGAUGAAAAUGAGGCAUUUAAGCCAAAUGAUGCAGUAAUUGAGGCGUUUAAGCCAAAUGACUGAUGAGGCUUUCCAAGCCAAAUGGUUUAAGGUAAUAAAAAUAUUUAUGGUGCAUUUGCAAGGCAAUUGUGUGGUGCAUUUAAAAGUAAUGGUGCAGUGUAGUUGAAAGCAUUUGCAUCGUGCAUUUGCAAGCAAUGAUAUGGUACUUUUUAAAGCAUUUUUGCAGUGCAUUUGCAGUGCCUUUGAAAGCAAAAGUGCAGUAUAUUUGAAAGCAUUUAUAUUAUGCAUUUUGCAGGCAAUGGUGCAAAGUAUUUGAAAGCAAUAGUGCAGUGCAUUUAAAAGUCAAUGUGCUAUGUAGUUUGCACUUACAAAUAAUUAGUAGCUGAAAAGUAAUGACAAUCAAUAUAUUAAAAAAAUAUUGUAAGAUUCCAAAAUCAUCAUUAGAAAAAUCUCAAACUUGGAUUUUAAAGAUCAUCAUCAUCCAAAAGGUGUAAUUUUCUAUAAAAUACUAUAAAAAAUUCAAACCGCUUGACAAAGGGUCUUGGUAUUUAUAUUCGUUAUUGAUUCUUCUGCUUCCUCUAUCCUGAAAAUCUGCACACAAAGAAAAAAUUGUGAGUUUUUUUUUGGGGGAGGGGGGGAAGGUUGAUUCGUGUUGACUGUGAUGCUCUGGCCUUUGAUAAUCUUGCGCUUCCCACUUUGUUUGGACUUGUAACCUCCACCAAACACUGAAUCUUGGCGAAUGAAUAGUUAAGAAAUUUUGAUGAAAAAUCCAAUUUUAAUAAAUAAAAUAUGCAUAAAUAUAUACAAAAUAAAGUUGUUGCCGAAUUCUGCAUUGUGACAUGCUUGUGAAACAAAGUGAACGUCCUCAUCUGGAAUCCCAUCAUUCGUCUUGCUUGACCAUCCUUUGUCGAUGACUGAUGCCUCCUCAUGACGACGCCUUCAAAAGCUGCCCUAAUUUCCAAUUUGAGGAAAAUAUUGAAUUUUUAUUAUGAUGAGAUCGAACCCACAGGACUGCCUACGUAUCCCCUCUUAAACGGGAAUCAGGUCAAACGUAGUUCAUUUACAUUAAGAAGCAUUACAUAGAAAAGAAAGAGGUUGCUAGAUAUGCCUCUAGAUGUAGUAUCUCUUGACUACAUCUGUGUUGAUGGGCUUGGGCCACACUUCUCCAUCCAUUUCUGCUAGAAUCAGUGCUCCUCCAGUCAAUACUCAAUGCACCAUGUAUGGACCUUGCCAAUUUGGUGCAAAUUUUCCUUUAGCUUCAUUUUGGUGCGGGAAUAUGUGCUUCAAAACCAGUUGCCCCAAUUUAACUGACGUGGUUUCACUUUCUUGUUGAAGGCUCUGACCAUCCUGUUUUGAUAGAGUUGACCAUGGCCAACAACAUUCAUUCUCUUCUCGUCAAUAAGCAUUAGUUGUUCGUACUGAUUCUUUACCCAUUCUGCAUUGCUCAGCUCGGCUUCCUGGAUGACCAUCAAAGAUGGUAUUUCAACUUCCGCUGGUAAUAUGGCUUCAGUUCCAUAGACCAGAAGAUAAGGUGUUGCCUCAGUUGAUGUUCUGACUGUAGUGCGAUAUUCAAGGAGAGCAAAUGGUAGCUUCUCAUGCCAGUGCCUGUAGUUAUCAAUCAUCUUCCGUAAUAUCUUCUGUAUGUUCUUAUUGGCUGUUUCAACGGCUCCAUUCAUAUGAGGUCGAUAGGGAGUGGGAUUUUGGUGAGUAAUCUUGAACUUAUCACAUAUUUCUUGCAUCAGGUCACUAUUGAGAUUGGCUCCAUUAUCUGUAAUGAUUGACUCACGAAUUCCAAAUCGGCAAACGGUAUCUGCUACCACCUUCUUUGUAACUGACUUGUAAGAAGAGGCUUCUACCCACUUUGUAAAGUAAUCAAUAGCUACCAAGAUAAAUCUAUUCCCUUUCGAGGCGGCCGACUCAAUAAGGCAAUGACAUUCAUGCCCCAAGCUGCAAACGGCCAAGGAGAACUCGUCACAUUGAGUUCAUUUGGUGGGACUCGAAUCAAAUCACCGUGGAUCUGACACUAAUGACAUUUCUGUACAAAACAAAUCCAAUUUGUUUUCAUGGUCAUCCAAAAGUAACCUGCUCGUAGAAUUUUCUUUGCCAAAGUAAACCCAUUCAUGUGAGGCCCACAUGUUCCUGCGUGUAUUUCUUCAAUCGGCUUGGUUGCUUACCUGGCAUCUACAUACCUCAACAGUCCUAAAUCUGGGGUCCUCCUAUAUAGGAUUUUGACGUUUAGGAAAAAGUGAUUUGCCAAUCUCUUAAGCGUUCUCUUCUGGGUACUGGUUGCUCCUUCAGGGUAAUCCCUUGUCUUGAGAUACCUCUUAAUGUCAUAAUACCAUGGUUCUCCGUCUGGCUUGUCAUCCAUAUGGAAACAAUAAGCUGGCUGAUCUUGCACAUUCACCUUGAUGGGGUCUAUGUAAUUUUUAUCUGGAUGUUGAAUCAUGUAAGACAAAGUUGCCAAAGCAUCUGCAAACUCAUUUUGAACUCUUGGAACAUGCUUGAAGUCCACUUUGAUAAACUUCUUACACAACUCCUUUACACAAUGUAAGUACGGUAGGAUUUUUAUGUUCUUUGUAUUCCAUUCGCCUUGUACUUGAUGAAUUAGCAAGUCUGAAUUACCUAUAACCAACAACUCUUGGACGUUUAUAUCAACGACCAUUCUAAGCCCAAGUUUAUAAGCCUCAUAUUCUGCCAUGUUGUUGGUGCAUGGAAACUGAAGUUUCGCUGAGAUUGGAUAAUGUUGUCCAGAUUUUGAAACUAAUACUGCUCCAACUCCAACUCCUUUGAAGUUUGCGGCUCCGUCAAAGAACAUUCUCCAACCAGAAUAUGCCUCUAAAAUGUCUUCUCCAGCAAACAAUACUUCUUCAUCUGGGAAGUAUGUCCUAAGUGGCUUGUAUUCUUCAUCCACAGGAUUUUCUGCAAGGUGGUCAGCUAAAGCUUGUCCUUUGAUGGCCUUCUGAGUAACAUACACGAUGUCAAACUCACUUAGAAAAAUAUGCCACUUCGCCAGCUUUCCUGCAUGCAUAGGUUUCUGAAAGAUGUACUUGAGUGGGUCUAUCCUGGAAGUGAGAUAAGUGGUGUAUGCUGACAAGUAAUGCCUCAACUUUUGUGCAACCCAAGUUAAGGCACAAAAGGUGCGUUCCAACAAAGUAUAUCUUGCUUCAUAUGCUGUGGACUUCUUGCUCAAGUAGUAUAUGGCUUGUUCCUUCCUCCCAGUUUCAUCAUGUUGCCCCAAAACACAUCCAAAUGCAUUAUCUGAUACGGAUAUGUAUAACAACAACGGCCUUCCAGGUUCUAGAGGUACCAACACUGGUGGGUUAGAUAAAUAUUCCUUGAUCCUAUCAAAAGCUUGUUGACAUUCCUCUGUCCAUUUGGUAGUGGCAUCUUUCCUCAGCAUCUUGAAUAUCGGCUCACAAAUCACUAUUGAUUGGGCUAUGAAACAACUGAUGUAGUUAAGGCGACCAAGGAAGCUCAUCACGUCCUUCCGAUUCUUUGGAGGUGGCAGGUCUUGGAUAGCCUUUAUCUUUGAAGGAUCCAACUCUAUGCCUCUUCUACUGACAAUGAAACCUAAUAAUUUUCCAGCUAGAACUCCGAAUGCACACUUUGUGGGAUUCAGCUUCAAAUUGUAUCGCCGCAACCUAUAAAAGAAAUUCUUCAGGUCUACCAAGUGAUCUGAACUCUUCCGUGACUUGAUGAUGACAUCGUCCACAUAGACCUCAAUCUCUUUAUGGAUCAUGUCAUGAAAAAUAGUUGUCAUAGCUCUCAUGUAUGUAGUACCUGCAUUCUUGAGUCCAAAAGGCAUUACCCGAUAACAAUACACCCCCAAGGUAUGAUAAACGAUUUCUUCUCAGCAUCAUCUUCAUUCAUCAAAAUCUUGUGGUAACCGGUAAAGCAAUCAACGAAUGACUGCAACUCAUGCUUUGCACAAUUAUCAAUGAGUAUGUGAAUAUUCGGAAGUGGGAAAUCAUCCUUUAGACUAGCCUUGUUGAGAUCCCGAUAAUACACAUAUAUUCUGUUCUUCCCAUCCUUCUUUGGUAGUGGUACUAUAUUGGCCAACCAGGUGGGGUACUUCGUGACUCGGAUGACAUUUGCUUUAAAUUGCUUGGAGACUUCUUCUUUGAUCUUCAAACUUAAGUCCGUAUUGAUUUUUCUUGUUUUUUGCUUUACCGGGGGACAAGAUGGAUCCGUUGGAAACUUAUGGGAAACAAUAUUAGUGCUUAAACCAAGCAUGUCAUCAUACGACCAAGCGAACACAUCGAUGUAUUGUCUCAGAAGAUCCACAUAUUUCUCCUUUUCUGAUGGUGUCAAAUGGACACUAAUUCUUGUUUCUUUUAUAGACUAUGAAUCUCCCAAAUUUAUAAGCUCAGUUUCAUCCAAAUUUGGUUUUGACUUGUUCUCAAACUGCUCAAGUUCUUUAGUUAAUUCUGCAGGCGGCACAUCUUCUUCAUAUUCUUCAAGAUCUUUCUUGUUAUUUUGUUCACUUGUUUCAUUGCAUGUCACAUUCACGAUGUCGGCAUUUUUAUCAAUUUGUUUGCUGAAAAAUAAAUAAAAAAGAAAGAAAAUUAAUAAAGACAAAAAUUUAAAUGUAAAGCGAAAAAGUAUAUUCAGAUUUUGCAUUUAAGCUUCCAAAAGAUCAAGGCAAACAACAUAAAAAUCAUAGACACGAUUCAGGCCUCAAUUUUAAAUCGUGUUUUUUUAAAGUACUAAUACAAUCCAUCUACAAAGACUCCCGGCAAACCGGGGACGGGGUACAAGUCUAAUUGUUCAAAACAUCUCCAGGUGCGGCAUCCCAAAUAGUUGGCGCCUCAGUGCAAUCCUUCAAAAUCACAUUGCAGUCGGCAAUGAAUAGGCUCAUGAUUCCUUUAACGAGGUCGUCUUCAGCAUCUUCAUCUAGCUCAUGAAUAGUAACUGUCUUGAGGAAUGGCUGGCUUAGCAGCGGGAUAGGCUGUGGCAAGAUAAUGUCACUUUUCUUCUUGAGCGAGCCUCCGAGACUUCUUUUGGAGUGGGUUCGUAGCCUAGGCCAAAGGUAUUGUUCUGCCCCGGUAACUGAAUUGGCUCCACUAUUCCAUGCAACCUUGCUCCAAGUCCUCGACCAAGCUCGAAACCAUUCUUCAACAUUUCUGAUGCCACCAUCCGAACACACUUGGCAACUUUAUCUCUUUACCUCGAGUAGCAGUCACAAUUUCUUCAAUGUGGAAAGUAGCUCCAUCCAGCCUCUCCACACUUUCAAUGACAGGGAUUGAAUUCCCGGGGCAAAUGGGAUUGCUUGCUUCUCCAUGAAUCACAACUUCCUGGUGACUCCACACAAACUUCACGCUCUGGUGCAAAGUGGAAGGGACUGCACCAGCCAUGUGAAUCCACGGCCUUCCCAACAACAAAUUAUAAGUAGCAGAUAUGUCUAACACUUGAAAUUCAAUGAUAAACUCCACAGGCCCAAUUUGUAAUGCUAAGUCAAUUUCACCAAUAGCGCUCCUUUGCGCUCCGUCAAAAGCUUUAACAUUCACAUGACUUUCAUGAACUUUUCCAAUGUCAAUUCCCAAAGCUUUGAGGGUAGUGAAAGGACAUAUAUUGAGGGCAGAACCAUUAUCGAUCAAAACCCUAGAAACAAACUUGUCCUUGCACUUGACAGUGAGAUGCAAAGCUUUGUUAUGAAUUAGACCUUCAUGUGGCAAUUCAUCCUCAUGAAAAGAAAUCUUGUGGGCUUCUAGAAUUUGGGCUACCAUAGAUUCCAAAUGGUCACUAGUUGUGUCGGCUAGCACAUAUGCUUCAUUGAGUACUUUUACCAAAGCAUUCCUGUGACUGUCGGAACUCAUCAAUAAUGACAUGAGGGAAAUUUGAGCCGGCGUCUUCUUCAGUUGGUCUACAAUAGUGUAUCCGCUACAUUGCAUUUUUCUCCAAAACUCUUCUGCUUCAGCUUCUGUCACAGACUUCUUCUGGUUGUUGUCCUUACUUGAAGUUCCUCGUGAUGCUUCUUCAGGAACAUAACACCAACUGGAUCUCAUCAUACCUGCAGCAACAACUUCUACAACUAAUUUUGCCUUUCCUUUGUUCCUUACAUCAAACGGAUAGUCCCAAGGAACUACUUUGGUUUUAAAUGAGGGUGUCUGUGCAACUAGAGCCAUGAUCCUGGCUUUCGGAGGGAGUAUUUCCACCUCAAUUGGUGCUCGCACUUGCACUGUGCUGACAUGAGAAAUGAAGGCAGAUGACACAACCUUUUUCUCGUCUUCAAUUGUUACAAUUGUUCCUUCCAAAUUUCGAUCUUCAUCAGUAGAUAUCAUGUUAAUACUGGUAUUAUCGUGAUUUGGAAGACGGUUGUUGUUCACAUUCGGGGGAGCUCCCUUAAGCUGAAUGGUUCCUGCUUUGAUCAACUCUUCAAUCUUAUCUUUGAGAGUAAGGCAAUUUUGUGUGUCAUGUCCAGUCAUACCAGAGUGAUACGCAUAAUGCUUGGUCCCAUCAUACCGUCCUAGGAGGGGGUCGGGAACUCUUCCUGGGACUGGUUGGAGUACUCCUGCAGCUUUCAACCUUUCAUACAACUUUGCUAAAGGUUUAGCUAGGGGUGUAUAGGUUUUGGUUGGUUUUUUUUCAAAGCUCGGGCGAGGUCUAGGUGCAUUUGGGCAGUUUUGUGAUUAGUAGCAGGGUUGAGAUGGAUAUGUAGGUUGGUAAUGUGAUGGAUUCGGGUAUGUGGGUGCUCGGGGUGGAUAAUAGGUUGGUUGGGCAUUAUAAACAGGAUAGGGAAUGGGCGAAGGCAGGUAAUAAGGUUGAGGAGUUUGGGUGUAUGGGCUAUAGUAUGAAGGUUGAGGUAACGGGUUUUGGUAGGUUAACAUUUGGUUAGGCCUGCGGUCUUGGAUGGUCAUAGCAGCGGAUACUUCUUUCUCCUUCUUCUUACUUGCUCCUCCAAUAGUUUCUGACUGGAUUUCCUUACUCGUUGCUUGUAGUGCUGCCAAGUUUGUAAUCUUUCCAGAUUUGAGACCUUCCUCUAUAACGUCUCCCAUCCUAACAACUUCCGAGAAUUUCUGCCCCAGCAUGCUUAUCAAUCUCUUAUAGUAUGUUGCAUCCGUUUGAGAUCGAAUAAAAGUAGUUGUCAUCUCAUCUUCUCCCAUCAGGGGUUGGACUCUUGCUGCUUCUGCCCUCCAUCUCCUGGCAUACUCUUUAAAGGAUUCUGUUGUUUUCUUCUCCAACAUCAUCAAAUAGAAUCUAUCUGGGUUGGUCUCGGUGUUAAAUUUGAAUCUGUCCAUGAAUUCUUGCGCCAUGACACUCCAGCUACGCCAUUUCUGUGGAUCUUGACUUGUGUACCAAUCAAGGGCUUCCCCUGUAAGACUCCUUAUAAAAAGUUUCAUCCUGAUAGUUUCAUCCUUUCCCAUGCCAACUAACUUAUCACAAUACGACCUCAAAUGAGCUCGUGGGUUUCCUUUUCCAUCAAACAUGUCAAAUUUUGGUACUUUAUAUCCUGCGGGUAAAUCGACAUCGGGAUGAACACAUAUAUCCUCAUACUCCAAACCUUCCAUACUCCCAAUGGUUUCAGACUUUUUAAUGCUUUCUUUAACUCAUGGAUCUCCUUCGCCAUAUACUCGUCGGCUUUAUCCCUUACUUCUUUUUUUUGCUUCUUGAUACUGAUACACUUCGGAGUGAAGUUGGUGAGGCAUAGGGGUAGUAAAAGGUUGUGCUUCCGCUACAUAUAUCGACGGCACAUGUUGCAUGUUAAGAAUAGCGACGUGUGACAUCGGUAUGUGUUGGGUUACAUAUAUGGUGGUUUUGGGUGAGCGGGGUGCUUUGGGCUAGUGGUGGUUGGGAAACAUAUGAUGUGUUGAAAGUCAAUAGGUUGGCUUGUUACGGGUUAGCAUGUGCGUUAGUGGAUGCUGACUUGUUGUUGUGAAGUGGAGGGUUUGGUGGAAGGUGUUCUGGGAUAGGUGAGUCAAAAGAUGGGAAAGGUGGUGGGAUAAGUGCAUUUGUCCUUUCUUCGGGAAGUGGUGUGUUGAGGCUGAUAGAAAGAUUGGUAAGGUUCCGAAGCCGUUCAAUUUCACCUUGCAGGUUAGCCACUUGUUGCAACAACUAGGCAAUAUGCUCAUCACAAAGGGUAACCUCCCUUCCUUCUGAAGCCUCGGGUUUGUCUCGUUGAACGGUGACAAGUCCCAAGCCUGUCAUAUCAGAUGUGUUUGAACCAGUCAUGUUGGUAGCUGCUCGUGCCUUGGAUCUCGUGAAGUAUGGGUGUUUAGCCAGUUAGCAGUCAACACAAAUCAACCUUAGGGAGUAAUAAAAUAGAAAACCUUUAAAAAGGAAAUAAAAGACAAUGUUAGUAAGGGGUUAUUAAAUUUAAAAGCAAGUACAUCACAUAACAAACAAAUCACGUAAUAAUACAAACAAGUCAAGCAAUGAUAAGCGUGUCCUAGUAUGCACAGGACCUCUUUGUGCCAGAGGUAGGCCUAGCGAAAAUUUGAGAGAUAAACACACCAUUAUAUAUCAUUUCAUUGCUCCUUAAUUAGAUACCCCAAAAUAAACUUUCAUUGAUGAUUUGAGUCUCAGUACAUAAAUGAAAAGAGAAAUACCAACAUUGCCUUAGUCUAAAACGAUUACAAUGGCAUAGCCUUAAUUGAAAUAAAGAUUACAACAUAGUUCUAAUCUAAUUGACUGAGGAUGGUUCUUCAUUGCCCCUUAGCCUCUUCGCUGCUCUUAUUGCCUCGUCGAUUUUCUGGCGAUUCUUCACAAGGUAAACCAUGGCUAACUUUCCUCCUUCGUCGAGUCCUUGGCAAUAGCAUUCUAUGAAUUGUUUCUCGAGGUCUCCAUCCAAAUCUUUGAGUCCUUGCUCCAUUUCCACAGCUUGUUGUUUCCACAUUUCUAUUUGUUGCUUCUGUAUUUCCUCUCGUUGUCUCAACAUUUCAAUCUCUUUGUUAUCCUUCUCAUGCUGCUCCUUCUGCUUUGCUUCAGACUCGGACACCCUUCUUUUCAAUCAACGGUACUUGAUUUCAGCUUCGACUGCCUUAUCUUUGAUUAGGCCUCCCAUAUUAAUCCCUCUUGUGACAGAACCUUCAAGGUUGGCACGUAACCAUUCUAAGUAAAAAGUGUCAUAUCUAGCUUGGUACCUAUCUGGUGCAAUUGUAUCCUUUACCAUAUCUCUCUUGUUUCUCCACAUCCUGAGAAUUUUCUUCGCAAAAGGAAUCUUAUCAUUAUCAUAGUCAAUUCGAUAAUGAUCCAUGUUAUCAACUUGCAGUAUGACUUGCAUUCUUCCGGCUUGUCUCAUAACUCCUAAUGGAGCAUAUGGUUGAAGUCUUCGAAUCCCUAUGAGAACCAAGUAAGGUAGCAUUUUUCCACGAAUUACAAAAUUCUCAGAAGGAUACCAAGAAAACAUCCAUUGAAUCGUGGUGUCGUUCAGCUUGCUAAGUAACUUGCCCCAUCCUUUAACACUAUUUGGGAGCUUGAAUGCAACCACUGGGAUCGUGUACGAUGUGAUAUGAUUAGCACUGUUUUGCUUGUAAAGCUCUUGGCUUCCACUGAUCUUUUGGAGAUGCCCCAUAAAUCACAACUGCAGCAACAAACAUCCCUCAAAAUGUUUAAAUAAGGCCCAAAACUCGUAUAUAUCUGCAACAACCAUCGGCACUAUGGUGUAUGGCUUUCCAUUAAUGCCAUUAAAUAAUGCAUCAGCAGCCAUGACAAGUGGGGUGUGAAUCUCCUAUUUUGCUCUUCGAGGAAAUACUAGGAGCCCGAGGAAACAAACCGAAAAAGCGAAUACCCUCUUUUCACUCCAAGAAGCAUGUGAGGAGAACACCUCUCGAUGUUGUAGAAAAGCAUCUGAACAUCCAAAGAUGUCGAACAGAUAGCCCAGGGGUAUCUUGGAUUCUUUCAAAUGCUCUAGACCAAUUUCUUUCUCAAAACCAAACUUUUCAAAGAACUCUUUUAUCGAGGGAUUUUUUGGAAUAAUCAUGCCAGCGCUUUGCCAAGAAUGUAUGCCUUUCCCUAACAAACUCACAUUCUCUAUGAAGCCUCCAAUUUCUUCUAACAAUGGUGUCAUCUCAUUUUCCCUAAAUCUGAAUACAACUCUUUCUUCAUCCCAAAAGGUGACUGAUGCUUCAAUUAUUUCCCUACAUGCUGUGACUUCCAUAAGUAACAGUAGGUUACCCAGCUUCUUUCGUACUUUGGACUGUGCAUUCUCUCCUAAGCUUCUCCACCAUGCCUUUAGUUUGGGAGGGAUGUCCAACACCAUGCCAAUCUUUGGGUAAACAACUUGAUUCAUGAUUUCCUGCAUUAUAGAAAAGGUUAAUCCUACCCGUUUUCCCCUUUUAUGAGUAAAUAGUCCACAUAAUCAGUGUGUUUAUCUUUCACAUAAUGCACAUAAAGGAUGAAUAGGCGUCACUCGGGGUUAUAAACCCGCUUGGACAUUUGGAUAAGGCUAACUAAUGGACUUAAUACACCUAGGGUAUUAAGCCUCCUAAGGUUGCGUGAUGCAUGCCCCUAAGAAGGGAUUUGGUUUAGCUCUAUCCUAGGUCAGCUAAGAGUGGGUUUUCUAGACUGGUCUUUUCUCAGGUGGACAACUUGAGAGUGGAAAUUUGUGACUGUUGAUUGCAACGCUGAUCGACUUACUCACAAACUUUCCCCUAGAAGAUAUUUUUUGAAAAAGUGCAGGCCCGCAAACUGCGUGACCGCUAGGUGUGUGCUCAGUGUGAAUUUUCCAAAAGUGGAGGAAGUGAAAACGGAAUGACAGUUUAUAAAAGAUAGUAAUCACAUUUUAUAAGGAGUAGCAGAUUUUCAAAUAAGGCAACAAACAAAAACAUUCACAAAAUACAAAAGUCAUUUUUAUUAACCUAAGUUUGUUAUGGUUUAAAACCUAAAAUCCCCAAAAGAGUCGCCAAGUUGUUAUACCCCAUUUAAACCAGGUCAAAUUAGAGUAUAACAUAUUAGCGAUUCUGAGGUUGAAUUAAUUUUUAAAAGAGUCGCUACCUAAUUAAUUUUAAGGUAAAUUAGGACACCUAUUUUUUAAAGCUUAAGUCAAACCCUGUCUUAUGGUCUUAACCUAAAGAUUCUAAAUAAGGGUUUUAAAUAUUUUAAAAGGAAGGUUUUAAAAGACCUUUUAAAAUCCGUUAAUAACGGUUAACCAACCGAACUUAGGUUAAUAAGUGUUAAAUAACUUAUCGAAAACAUUUAAGGUAUUACAAGACAAUAACUUAUAAUUGAGUAGUUUAAACUUGAAAAUACUAUUAAGUGAAAAAAAGAAGAAGUUAAAAGCUAAUUAAUAUGUGCAUAUAUAAAUUUGGAAGCAAUCGACCAUUUUUAAAAAAAAAACAGUCACUAAUCCCAAUAAAAGAAAAUUAUUUUUUGUUUGUCAUCAAACUUUAUUAAGGUCAAGAAGUUGUUGAAAUUAUUUAUUUAAAGAAAAAAAAAGAAAUCUGCAAAACUCAAUUCAAAAGCCACGUUGUCAAGCAUAAGAAAGUUUCAUUGCCUUUUUUAAGUCUCAAAAGAGAACGUACCAAUAUUCCAAGUGAUUGAAUUCUUAGAAGUUUUUUGAUUAGUAAGAUAUUUGGCCAAAAUCACGGUUAUAAAUUUACACGAUAAAAUUAAUCAUCAAUAAUAAAACAAACUCCACACAAAACCAAAUCACAUAAACUAACGAAAUUUAGACAAAGUAAGUAAAGAAUAAUGAAAGCCGCCAUAGGCGACCCCAAGCAAAUUUGCUUGUUUUCUUCUUGACCAAUGCGAUUAAAGAAGAUAGUUUGUGAUAACUCUAUGCGGGUAGGAAGAGUCUUGCAUUAAGACUCCAGGUCGCUCCGAAGUGUACAUGCAAAUAAAAAAUAGAGAAUAAAGAUUAGUAAAAAUAGUCUUAAACUUAUAGUGAUCGAAAUGAGUAGAAUAAUCACAGAAAAUCUUUUGUAAACCCAAAUUAGCUUUCAUAUUGUCAAAACCCUUUUAGGCUUGUAGGCUUCUUUUAUAUCAGACAAUAGAAUUCCAAACAAAACUUUUAGCAUCAAGCCUUAGAGAAAAAGUUUUCAACAGUAAGUUCCUACAUAAACCUAUAUAAAUAUUUACAUCCAGGUGAUUAAACUGACACAGGUUAGAGUUUUAGAAUAUACUUCUGGUAAACAAUAAACUAUUAGACAAGUUAUACAACAAAACAGCUGAAGGUUUUCUUUCUAACUUAAACUAACACUACCUCAAAUAAGACAAAUGCUUAACAAGACUUAAUGCUAUUCUACCACAUAAACCAGUCAUUUGGCAAGAUCAUAAACCACAUGUAAUCAUAACAUAAUACCAAAUGAAGCUACAGUUUAUCUAUUAGCAUGAAUUCUAACAGAUACUUUAAUAGUCUAUAUGAAUAUCUUAUACAUGUACACAUAUAUUUCAAAUUGAUACUACCCUUUUCUUGAAAAUAUGAUUUCUCAAAAUGUACGCAAAAUCAAUCUAUGGUUAAAAUAAGAUUUUUUAUUAGAAAUAGUUCUUAAUCACGAACUAAAAUGAGAUAUUUUUUAUAUACACACAGUGGAUGAACAUGGCUUCCAUCUAAAGGUUCAAACUUGUAAUGAAUCCUAACAGCUAGAGAACAUGUUGCCUUUCCACAUAUCUAUGCAAGGCAAUAGGUUACUAUAAUCAUGAUUCUGGUAGAAUUUAAGGCAUGAAUCUCUGCUUCAUAAGAACUAACAAAUAGAAAAAAAAACACAAGAUAAAACUUCUACAACAUUUAUAAAUGAUAAAACACAUGGUAUCUUUUAACAAAAAAAUCAGCUAGCAUUUUUAUGGAACUUUAUCAGUCAUAAUGCAAAUACCUUACACCCAUAAACUAAUUUCCUUAAAGACAUAAUUUCUACACACAAAUGAACUCUAAAUCAUGAUUUCUAAUAUGUUACUUAAAGUAAUAAAUACAGAAUAGCAGGUUUAGAUCUAACUUUUAUUGGAACAGUGAACUUGGUGCUCUUAAGGCUUCAGAUCUACUCCUUUUUUAUGAAAUUGAAUCGGACAGAGAUUUAUAGGGAUUAAACUAGUUUUUGAGAUCAAGUUUUAACUGAAACUUUCUAAUUCCUAAUUAGUAUGAAAAUAGCGGCAUCUUAUGAAUAUGCUUCAUGGGUGAACCAAACAAAUUUCUGUAUACAUAAUUUACAUAAAGAAAGCAAGUGAACCAUGAACUUCUAUAACAGAACAAAAGGGGACUAACACAUGAUUCUACUGGAUAAGAAAACAACAACUUUAUACUUAAUAAAAGUAAAGAGCGACUAAAACUUAGAAGGAAAAACUGACCUUUUGCGGUGCAGGAACUGGGGUCGCGUCAAGGUCUACUAUCUCCGGCCUCUACUCCGCAACCUCGAACGAUCGUCAAAUUCCAAAACGAUUACUCCGCCGCCUCUAGUUUAGUUAAACGAGACCAGUAGGCGCUGACCAAAACGAGCCCUUAAAGCAUGGCUCCAAUGAGUAAGAAAUCAGAGAAGGAGGCUCGGAGAAGAAUGUUAAAAAGUUUAUGGGUUCAAAAGUUGCUGAAAAUCUCCACCAAGUUUGGUAUUUAUAGGAGAUGAAUUAGGGCUCUCUAGGGUUAGUUGGGCGGAAUUCUUGAUUUUUUAUUUUUCAUUCAAAAUGAACUUUUUAAAUUUGAUCAUUGAUCUUUCUUAGACUGACUUUGCAGACAUCACGUGAUUUGGUCAAAAAGGCGUGAUUUGUUCCAGUCAUUACCCGAAUUGGCGAGGCUGUGGUCUGCUUCAAUUUGAUUUCAAAGUUGUCAAGCACAAACAAGAAAGAGGAAAAGGAAUAUCCUUUGGAAUAUUUAGAUACGUAAAGAGAGUAGAGAGACCUUUUUGCACAAAAAUGGUGCGUCAUUCCUCUGCUUGAAAGAUAUAAGAGCUUGGAAGUUUUCUGAAAAUGGAGAAGGGAGUGGGGCAUC
rnacentral:lncRNA from 1 species